GAUGAACGCUAGCGGCAGGCUUAACACAUGCAAGUCGAGGGGCAGCGCGGGAUAGCAAUAUCCUGGCGGCGACCGGCGGAAGAGUGCGUAACGCGUGAGCGACAUGCCCGUUGCCCGGGGACAACCGGUGGAAACGCCGACUAAUCCCCGAUGGGAUAUUGUGCCGCAUGGCACGAUAUUGAAAGUUACGGCGGCGACGGAUUGGCUCGCGUCCGAUUAGCUUGUUGGCGGGGUAACGGCCCACCAAGGCUGCGAUCGGUAGGGGUUCUGAGAGGAAGGCCCCCCACAAUGGGACUGAGACACGGCCCAUACUCCUACGGGAGGCAGCAGUGAGGAAUAUUGGACAAUGGGCGGAAGCCUGAACCAGCCAUGCCGCGUGCGGGAAGGAGGCCCUAUGGGCUGUGAACCGCUUUUGCCUGGGGGCAAUAAGGGCGUCGCGCACGUCCGAUGAGAGUACCAGGCGAAUAAGCAUCGGCUAACUCCGUG
rnacentral:rRNA from 1 species